AUGUCGCAAAGUUGUGCACUGAUGCCCAAGAUGGGCAUGUUCAUGAAGGUUGCGUCUCAAGUCCGUUUAAAUUGGCUUUGGUCUGCGUUGGAAAGAAACGGGCAUUUGGUUCUCUCAACGACUCGACAUCUGCUGUUUGGGAAUGCAUUUUUCUCUUUGAGUUACGGAGGUGAUGUCCUUGUGUUUGAUUUUCAAAUACAAAGCCUUUGUGUGAUCGAGAAGCUGGCAGACAAGCAUGUUUUUUCCCAGUGGCAUUUCCAGCUCUUGCGGAUGAAGGAUGGUGGGCUUGGCCUUGCUGUUUCGUCGAAACAGACCAUCCAAUUCUGGGAGAGGAAAUCUUACUGUGAUGGUGUUGUCAGAUGGGUGUCAUUGCGGAAAACCAUCCCACAUGAGUGGUUGUUCCCACGGAGAAUGCAUAAUGACCACAUAAUAGUUGUUUCUGUGGAGUAUGAUGACGAGACAAAUGUGAUUGUUAUAUCUAUUGUUGGCGUCUUCAUGUUCCCACUUGACUCGAUGCAGAUCAAACAGAUUAUUAAAAGAAAUGACAUAUGUUAUCUCGAAUAUCAUCCCUACACAAAUUUCUAUGCUAGAUGUAAUACCGCCCUAUCUACAUUUCACAAGUGA
rnacentral:rRNA from 1 species